GGCUUAGGACGAACGCUGGCGGCGUGCUUAACACAUGCAAGUCGAACGGAGAUAUUAAUGAAGCUUGCGAUUUAAUAAUCUUAGUGGCGGACGGGUGAGUAACGCGUGGGCAACCUACCCAUAAGCGGGGGAUAACAGUUGGAAACGACUGCUAAUACCGCAUAAGCUAUUAAGGUCACAUGACCUUAAUAGUAAAGGUGGCGAUUUUACAUUGCUAUCACUUAUGGAUGGGCCCGCGUCUGAUUAGCUAGUUGGUGGGAUAGCAGCCUACCAAGGCAACGAUCAGUAGCCGGCCUGAGAGGGUGGACGGCCACACUGGGACUGAGACACGGCCCAGACUCCUACGGGAGGCAGCAGUGGGGAAUAUUGCGCAAUGGGGGAAACCCUGACGCAGCGACGCCGCGUGAGCCGAAGAAGGCCUUAGGGUCGUAAAGCUCUGUUGUAAGGGACGAAUGUUUAUCUGGCGAACAGUCAGAUAAAGUGACGGUACCUUACCAGCAAGCCCCGGCUAACUACGUGCCAGCCGCCGC
rnacentral:rRNA from 1 species